rnacentral:rRNA from 1 species
UACGUAGGGGGCUAGCGUUGUCCGGAUUUAUUGGGCGUAAAGAGCGUGUAGGCGGCCAGGUAGGUCUGGUGUGAAAACUCGAGGCUCAACCUCGAGACGUCGAUGGAAACCAUCUGGCUAGAGUCCGGAAGAGGAGAGUGGAAUUCCUGGUGUAGCGGUGAAAUGCGCAGAUAUCAGGAAGAACACCUAUGGCGAAGGCAGCUCUCUGGGACGGUACUGACGCUGAGACGCGAAAGCGUGGGGAGCGAACAGG